rnacentral:rRNA from 1 species
CCCUGCCAUUUGUACACACCGCCCGUCGCUCCUACCGAUUCGAGUGAUUCGGCGAAUUCUCCGGACUGGCUCUCACGAGCUGGAAAGUUGUGUAAGCCAUAUCACUUAGAGGAAGGAUAAGGCGUAAC